rnacentral:rRNA from 1 species
UGGCCACGCAAGUUCGUCGGGAAAUCCACCAGCCUAACUGGUGGGCGUCCGGCGAAAACUGCCUGGUUUGGGACCGGAAGACCCGAGGGGUACGCCCGGGGUAGGAGUGAAAUCCCGUAAUCCUGGACGGACCGCCGAUGGCGAAAGCACCUCGGGAAGACGGAUCCGACAGUGAGGGACGAAAGCUCGGGUCUCGAACCGGAUUAGAUACCCGGGUAGUCCGAGCCGUAAACGAUGUCUGCUAGGUGUGGCACCCACUACGAGUGGGUGCUGUGCCGUAGGGAAGCCGCUAAGCAGACCGCCUGGGAA